GGUUUCAGUCAGGUCAGUUCUGCCUAUUGUGAACUCCUUUCAGAGCGAGCUGUUUCUGGGACUCCUGUCUCUUUAAACCCAAUUGAGCUGCUAUUGGCCAACUCAGCUACACAUGAACCACAUUUAAAUACUGCUACGUGUUUGAAAAGCAGAAGAAAAGCCUCCUGCACAACCAACAAUCUGAAUACUCCUGCAAAGAGCUCUGCAGCAGAGAGAAGCGACUCUGAGCAGAGCCGCGUUCCCCCUUCAGCUCCUCCAGCUCCCGCUGCAGGACCCCCAGCUGGCAGCGAGCGUCAUCCUGCAAAAGCAGCAAUACCAACUCCUGGAGGAAAUCUCUGAGGCCACUUCUCAGGGAAUCUGGGUCCAGUUCAGACUGAGGCAGCGGCGUGUCGCCUCUCUCUGGAGAAACGGCACCAGAAC